GUAGAUUGAAGCCCGCUGGUUUGGGUUCUUAGUUGUUAAUUAAAUUUUCACGGGAUCGAGGCCCGUCAGUUUAGGGA
rnacentral:tRNA from 1 species